rnacentral:rRNA from 1 species
AUGGCUACGGCCGACGCGAGCAAAUUUUGGACUACGAGGAACUACAUCCUGGUGGCCCUCGGCGGAACCCUCGCCGUCACGGCCGUGGUCAUUGUAGUCUCCGUCGCCCUUCACCCUGCGCACAUCAGCUUCUCCAUCCUGGACGCCUCGAACAGCAUUGACAGUGCCGGCAACGACAGCAUCCCGUACCUCAACCUCACCAUCGCCGCCGCCAACACCAGCCGGAAGCGCGCGGCGGUGCGGUACACUACCAUCUUCGUCGAACUGCAGAACAGCACAUGCAGUAGGAACACUAUCCAGACCCAGGUCUACGUGGGGCCGCCGGCCGGCAAGUACCUGCGGCCAGGUACAGGGCCGGCGAUCAUCAAGGCAUCGUCAACGGUAAGCCUGCUGUCGGGAGACCGUGUCCAGAGCAUCCAGGGGUUAACGGUGGUGGUGGUGGCGCGGGUGCGGUUCCGGAUCGCGGGGAUCAUCACGAGACUGUACGAGAUCAAGGCCUCCUGCCCACAUGUGUACUUCCCCGUAGAAAGGUCUCACAAACCCCCCGGGACGCCAAUCGACUGCGCGUUGGUGGAUGAGAGUGCGAUCCGUAUCUGGAGUCUUGAUGUUUUUGGGCCUUACAAGUGGACUAUGAAGCAUCGUCUUGUAGUGCCCAACAACCUUGUCACCGGCGGAAAACAAAGUUCGGCGCCAUACUCUAAGAUGGAAACUGUCGUCUGCAAUGAUGUAAUUGCUUGCAUACAGCAGCAGAUAGACUCUGCUGACAGAACCAAAAACGACCACCCAACAAACAGUUAUGUUGACAAAGAGACGGCAAAAUGCCACCUGACCUACUCUGUGAUCACUGUUGAAUGGAUCGCUUCAGAAAUUACAGUGCCAGGUCACAAGGGACCGGUCACAGGACAAACAAAUAGUCGGAUCUCGGCCGGUGGCUCCUCCUUGUGGUCUUCUUCCUUCGUCGGUCUCCAAGCAGCCAGCAGAGCCAUCAUGAUCGACUCAAACACAAACAGAUGA